rnacentral:rRNA from 1 species
UUAAGCGACUAAGCGUACACGGUGGAUGCCCUGGCAGUCAGAGGCGAUGAAGGACGUGCUAAUCUGCGAUAAGCGUCGGUAAGGUGAUAUGAACCGUUAUAACCGGCGAUUUCCGAAUGGGGAAACCCAGUGUGUUUCGACACACUAUCAUUAACUGAAUCCAUAGGUUAAUGAGGCGAACCGGGGGAACUGAAACAUCUAAGUACCCCGAGGAAAAGAAAUCAACCGAGAUUCCCCCAGUAGCGGCGAGCGAACGGGGAGGAGCCCAGAGCCUGAAUCAGUGUGUGUGUUAGUGGAAGCGUCUGGAAAGGCGCGCGAUACAGGGUGACAGCCCCGUACACAAAAAUGCACAUAUUGUGAGCUCGAUGAGUAGGGCGGGACACGUGGUAUCCUGUCUGAAUAUGGGGGGACCAUCCUCCAAGGCUAAAUACUCCUGACUGACCGAUAGUGAACCAGUACCGUGAGGGAAAGGCGAAAAGAACCCCGGCGAGGGGAGUGAAAAAGAACCUGAAACCGUGUACGUACAAGCAGUGGGAGCCUCUUUUAUGGGGUGACUGCGUACCUUUUGUAUAAUGGGUCAGCGACUUAUAUUCUGUAGCAAGGUUAACCGAAUAGGGGAGCCGAAGGGAAACCGAGUCUUAACUGGGCGUUAAGUUGCAGGGUAUAGACCCGAAACCCGGUGAUCUAGCCAUGGGCAGGUUGAAGGUUGGGUAACACUAACUGGAGGACCGAACCGACUAAUGUUGAAAAAUUAGCGGAUGACUUGUGGCUGGGGGUGAAAGGCCAAUCAAACCGGGAGAUAGCUGGUUCUCCCCGAAAGCUAUUUAGGUAGCGCCUCGUGAACUCAUCUCCGGGGGUAGAGCACUGUUUCGGCAAGGGGGUCAUCCCGACUUACCAACCCGAUGCAAACUGCGAAUACCGGAGAAUGUUAUCACGGGAGACACACGGCGGGUGCUAACGUCCGUCGUGAAGAGGGAAACAACCCAGACCGCCAGCUAAGGUCCCAAAGUCAUGGUUAAGUGGGAAACGAUGUGGGAAGGCCCAGACAGCCAGGAUGUUGGCUUAGAAGCAGCCAUCAUUUAAAGAAAGCGUAAUAGCUCACUGGUCGAGUCGGCCUGCGCGGAAGAUGUAACGGGGCUAAACCAUGCACCGAAGCUGCGGCAGCGACGCUGAUGCGUUGUUGGGUAGGGGAGCGUUCUGUAAGCCUGUGAAGGUGUGCUGUGAGGCAUGCUGGAGGUAUCAGAAGUGCGAAUGCUGACAUAAGUAACGAUAAAGCGGGUGAAAAGCCCGCUCGCCGGAAGACCAAGGGUUCCUGUCCAACGUUAAUCGGGGCAGGGUGAGUCGACCCCUAAGGCGAGGCCGAAAGGCGUAGUCGAUGGGAAACAGGUUAAUAUUCCUGUACUUGGUGUUACUGCGAAGGGGGGACGGAGAAGGCUAUGUUGGCCGGGCGACGGUUGUCCCGGUUUAAGCGUGUAGGCUGGUUUUCCAGGCAAAUCCGGAAAAUCAAGGCUGAGGCGUGAUGACGAGGCACUACGGUGCUGAAGCAACAAAUGCCCUGCUUCCAGGAAAAGCCUCUAAGCAUCAGGUAACAUCAAAUCGUACCCCAAACCGACACAGGUGGUCAGGUAGAGAAUACCAAGGCGCUUGAGAGAACUCGGGUGAAGGAACUAGGCAAAAUGGUGCCGUAACUUCGGGAGAAGGCACGCUGAUAUGUAGGUGAAGUCCCUCGCGGAUGGAGCUGAAAUCAGUCGAAGAUACCAGCUGGCUGCAACUGUUUAUUAAAAACACAGCACUGUGCAAACACGAAAGUGGACGUAUACGGUGUGACGCCUGCCCGGUGCCGGAAGGUUAAUUGAUGGGGUCAGCGCAAGCGAAGCUCUUGAUCGAAGCCCCGGUAAACGGCGGCCGUAACUAUAACGGUCCUAAGGUAGCGAAAUUCCUUGUCGGGUAAGUUCCGACCUGCACGAAUGGCGUAAUGAUGGCCAGGCUGUCUCCACCCGAGACUCAGUGAAAUUGAACUCGCUGUGAAGAUGCAGUGUACCCGCGGCAAGACGGAAAGACCCCGUGAACCUUUACUAUAGCUUGACACUGAACAUUGAGCCUUGAUGUGUAGGAUAGGUGGGAGGCUUUGAAGUGUGGACGCCAGUCUGCAUGGAGCCGACCUUGAAAUACCACCCUUUAAUGUUUGAUGUUCUAACGUUGACCCGUGAUCCGGGUUGCGGACAGUGUCUGGUGGGUAGUUUGACUGGGGCGGUCUCCUCCUAAAGAGUAACGGAGGAGCACGAAGGUUGGCUAAUCCUGGUCGGACAUCAGGAGGUUAGUGCAAUGGCAUAAGCCAGCUUGACUGCGAGCGUGACGGCGCGAGCAGGUGCGAAAGCAGGUCAUAGUGAUCCGGUGGUUCUGAAUGGAAGGGCCAUCGCUCAACGGAUAAAAGGUACUCCGGGGAUAACAGGCUGAUACCGCCCAAGAGUUCAUAUCGACGGCGGUGUUUGGCACCUCGAUGUCGGCUCAUCACAUCCUGGGGCUGAAGUAGGUCCCAAGGGUAUGGCUGUUCGCCAUUUAAAGUGGUACGCGAGCUGGGUUUAGAACGUCGUGAGACAGUUCGGUCCCUAUCUGCCGUGGGCGCUGGAGAACUGAGGGGGGCUGCUCCUAGUACGAGAGGACCGGAGUGGACGCAUCACUGGUGUUCGGGUUGUCAUGCCAAUGGCACUGCCCGGUAGCUAAAUGCGGAAGAGAUAAGUGCUGAAAGCAUCUAAGCACGAAACUUGCCCCGAGAUGAGUUCUCCCUGACCCUUUAAGGGUCCUGAAGGAACGUUGAAGACGACGACGUUGAUAGGCCGGGUGUGUAAGCGCAGCGAUGCGUUGAGCUAACCGGUACUAAUGAACCGUGAGGCUUAACCUU